GGGGCGAUGCUUUCGGCGGCUGCUGCUGCGAGUGCGGCUGCAAACAAAGGGAGACGCCGCGGAGGCGCUUCGCCUCCCUCCCGAUCCUGCAUGAAGCACGCAGGAAAAUAAAGAUUAAGAGAAGGCCUUGGAGCAGAUCGCUGCCUCGAUGGCCAAUCAAGAAUUGGAGUUUAACCUCUGAGAAAUGUGCCAAAAAAAGGAAGCCAAACAGCCAGCUACCGCUUUCAAAUCGGAGAUGUGUGGCGUGAAGGAGAAAAGCCGC